UACCCUUAUCAACUGGGCAAGGCAGUGUCUGCUUAUGGCACAUGGUCCUAUAUCUGGUAAGGGAAGAGCAAAUGCAGUCCAUGUUCAUCCCAGUCUACUCAGUACCGUGAGCGUAAGACUGUUUCAUGCUAUGGACACAGAA